AUUGAACGCUGGCGGCAUGCUUUACACAUGCAAGACGAACGGUAACAGGCCGCAAGGUGCUGACGAGUGGCGAACGGGUGAGUAAUGCAUCGGAACGUGCCCAGUCGUGGGGGAUAACUACUCGAAAGAGUAGCUAAUACCGCAUACGAUCUAUGGAUGAAAGCGGGGGACCGUAAGGCCUCGCGCGAUUGGAGCGGCCGAUGUCAGAUUAGGUAGUUGGUGGGGUAAAGGCUCACCAAGCCAACGAUCUGUAGCUGGUCUGAGAGGACGACCAGCCACACUGGGACUGAGACACGGCCCAGACUCCUACGGGAGGCAGCAGUGGGGAAUUUUGGACAAUGGGCGCAAGCCUGAUCCAGCAAUGCCGCGUGCAGGAAGAAGGCCUUCGGGUUGUAAACUGCUUUUGUACGGAACGAAACGGCUCUGGUUAAUACCCGGGGCUAAUGACGGUACCGUAAGAAUAAGCACCGGCUAACUACGUG
rnacentral:rRNA from 1 species